rnacentral:lncRNA from 1 species
UUGGGUGAGAAAAGAAGGCAAUGAGACCUAGGAUGGAAGCCAGUCUCCAGACUCCUCCCCAAUGCUGUGCGCUGAAACCCUCAACCACUCCUGCAGCAAGCUCAGACAGGAGGCAAGAGGAAGGCACAAAGGGAAAAGCCGUUUGCUUCUAUGUGCAUGGAUGGGCCUCGACAGACACCUCAGGAGAAAACAGAGCCAAGGGUCCAAAAUCCAGGCAGACAAUGACAGAGAGGAAAUUACAAAAUGAAGUCACCUUUGGAGCCUCGCAGAGCUAGGCAACUAAAUGUUUCAGAUUUAGUCCAUGGUUGCCUGGCCCUGGCUUGUGCAGAACCCUGUAGCAGUGGGGAUCCGUGACGAGAACCUUCUUGAUCACACGGCGGACAGAAAGCAGACAGAACAAUGAAGAGGAACCAGACAUGCCUGGGAUGUGGCUCUUAGGACAUUCUUCCAGGCCAGUCAGAGCUACUUUCUCGACAAAAGGGCAGAAGAGGACUAGGAAGAUGGCUCAAGCUUGACAACCUGAGUUCAGAUGCCCAGAAACCGCUAAAGCUGGAUGUCGGAGCAUGUGUCUACAACUGCCGUGUUCCCAAGGCAGCACCAAAACAUCUGGAGUUAGAAGAAACAGGACACAUAGGCGGCAUCUCACAGGACGCAUAGGCGGAAUCUCACAUGUCCCAACUGAGUUCCUGGAGAGACACUGAUUCAGAAGCGAGACAAGGUCUACUGUGAACUCCACAGCUCUGCAGUGGACUCGAGACCUGAGGAAAUGGAGUGUUUGUAUGCGGCUUUGCAUUCCAGGGGUUUUCCUCUACUGGACACUGAUCUGUGGGUGAUGCUGAGAAGCCUGGAGGCCAGCUUUGUCACCGGCACUCUGUGGUCCUGCCCAGCAAGCAGCCCUGGCUGUUCAUGAGCCUGGUCAUGAUCCUCAUCUUCAGAGGUGCCCGCUCCACAGUCUCCCCAUCCCCAUCUUCUCCACAGUCUCACCAUCCCCAUCUUCUCCAAGUCUCCCCAUCCCCCAUCUUCUCCACAGUCUCACCAUCCCCAUCUUCUCCACAGUCUCACCACCCCCAUCUUCUCCACAGUCUCACCACCCCCAUCUUCUCCACAGUCUCACCAUCCCCCAUCUUCUCCACAGUCUCACAUCCCCAUCUUCUCCACAGUCUCACCAUCCCCCAUCUUCUCCACAGUCUCACCGUCCCCAUCUUCUCCACAGUCUCACCGUCCCCAUCUUCUCCACAGUCUCACAUGCCCAUCUUCUCCACAGUCUCACAUCCCCAUCUUCUCCACAGUCUCACAUCCCCAUCUUCUCCACAGUCUCACCAUCCCCCAUCUUCUUCACAGUCUCACCAUCCCCAUCUUCUCCACAGUCUCACCGUCCCCAUCUUCUCCUCAGUCUCACAUCCCCAUCUUCUCCUCAGUCUCACAUCCCCAUCUUCUCCACAGUCUCCCCAUCUCCCAUCUUCUCCACAGUCUCACCAUCCCCAUCUUCUCCACGGUCUCACCAUCACCCCAUCUUCUCCAAGUCUCAUCAUCCCCAUCUUCUCCACGGUCUCCCUUUCCUAGGAUCACCAGCCACAGGACGCUACACAAGGACCCACCCUCCACAGUCCUCAUUCCAGAAUGAAUAGCCUGACAGACAUGCACAGGCAGCUGCCCCUUCCUCCAUAGCUGGUCAAAUAAAUGUACAGUGCCCUAGUGCCCAUUGCCUGUUGCCCAGACUAAGCCUGGUCCCACACUGAGGAAAUGUGGACCCACUCUUCUGCCAUCCAGGCCCCUGAGCAGUGAGGAUGCCAGUGUUCAGGUGCCCCAUAUUCACCCUAGAGUUCUGUAUGUGUACAAAGGAGUUAGAGUUGCCAUUUUUCUCUUCAUUGAUGUUUGUAAAACAUUUUACCUGUCCAGGGUUCUUUGGAAGAGCCCAGACUCCCAACUACAUAACAACCAUUAGUACAGUGUUGCUUUGUGGGGUUCUGGUUGCUCCACAGAUCCGUCCUGACCUCCAUCCUGGGCAGCCAGGCUAGAGGGCAGAGUGUUGCUCUUUGCCAGUCCUGACCUUUGAAUCCAGUGAAGUUCUUAAUUUGGGCAUGGCGAGUUGAGAAUUUUUGUACUAUGCGCUACAUAAAAUAGCUUAUUUUGGCCAUUGUGCUUUCUAGAUUUAGGUGCAAAAGUCUGGAAUACACCACGGUCUGUUCUCUAUCAUUUCCCUAAAGUGUCAGUUAUGCAUGAAGUCAGGCAUAGCUUCUCUCUCUUCUCCAACUGCAGCAAUCAGUUUGCAUUGUUCUCUUAAAUUUUUCUGAAUUUACUUUAAUUUCCAUGCCCAGAUGACCAGCCCCUCAAAG